CUACGGGAGGCUGCAGUGAGGAGUUUUGCGCAAUGGGGGAAACCCUGACGCAGCAACGCCGCGUGAGCGAAGAAGGCCUUCGGGUCGUAAAGCUCUGUCAAGUGGGAAAAACGUUUUCCGGUAAAUAGCCGGGAGAUCUGAUGGUACCGCUGAAGGAAGCACCGGCUAACUCCGUGCCAGCAGCCGCGGUAAUACGGAGGGUGCAAGCGUUGUUCGGAAUUAUUGGGCGUAAAGAGCGUGUAGGCGGUUUGGUAAGUCAGAUGUGAAAGCCCUGGGCUUAACCCAGGAAGUGCAUUUGAAACUGCUUUACUUGAGUAUGGGAGAGGAGAGUGGAAUUCCUGGUGUAGAGGUGAGAUUCGUAGAUAUCAGGAGGAACAUCUGUGGCGAAGGCGACUCUCUGGACCAAUACUGACGCUGAGACGCGAAAGCGUGGGUAGCAAACAGGAUUAGAUACCCGCGUAGUC
rnacentral:rRNA from 1 species